rnacentral:rRNA from 1 species
UAGGGAAUCUUCGGCAAUGGACGAAAGUCUGACCGAGCAACGCCGCGUGAGUGAAGAAGGUUUUCGGAUCGUAAAACUCUGUUGGUAGAGAAGAACGUUGGUGAGAGUGGAAAGCUCAUCAAGUGACGGUAACUACCCAGAAAGGGACGGCUAACUACGUGCCAGCAGCCGCGGUAAUACGUAGGUCCCGAGCGUUGUCCGGAUUUAUUGGGCGUAAAGCGAGCGCAGGUGGUUUAUUAAGUCUGGUGUAAAAGGCAGUGGCUCAACCAUUGUAUGCAUUGGAAACUGGUAGACUUGAGUGCAGGAGAGGAGAGUGGAAUUCCAUGUGUAGCGGUGAAAUGCGUAGAUAUAUGGAGGAACACCGGUGGCGAAAGCGGCUCUCUGGCCUGUAACUGACACUGAGGCUCGAAAAGCGUGGGGAGCAAAACAGGAUUAGAUACCCUGGUAGUCCACGCCGUAAAACGAUGAGUGCUAGAUGUAGGGAGCUAUAAGUUCUCUGUAUCGCAGCUAACGCAAAUAAAGCACUCCGCC